CCUACGGGAGGCAGCAGUGAGGAAUAUUGGACAAUGGUCGAAAGACUGAUCCAGCCAUGCCGCGUGCAGGAAGACGGCCCUAUGGGUUGUAAACUGCUUUUGUUUGGGAAGAAACCUUUCUACGUGUAGAAAGCUGACGGUACCAUACGAAUAAGCACCGGCUAACUCCGUGCCAGCAGCCGCGGUAAUACGGAGGGUGCAAGCGUUAUCCGGAUUUAUUGGGUUUAAAGGGUCCGUAGGCGGACUUAUAAGUCAGUGGUGAAAUCCUGCAGCUCAACUGUAGAACUGCCAUUGAUACUGUAAGUCUUGAAUUCGGUUGAAGUGGGCGGAAUAUGGCAUGUAGCGGUGAAAUGCUUAGAUAUGCCAUAGAACACCGAUUGCGUAGGCAGCUCACUAAGCCUGGAUUGACGCUGAGGGACGAAAGCGUGGGUAGCGAACAGGAUUAGAUACCCUGGUAGUCCACGCCGUAAACGAUGAUUACUCGACAUUAGCGAUACACGGUUAGUGUNAUAAGACGAAGACAUUAAGUUAAUACCACCGUCGGGGUAGGUACGGUUCGUCGAAGAAGUAGAAACGUAACGAAAGAAAGUUAGUACGGCGUAGAGACGUAGACCGAACGGACGACCGACGAGGGGAGGAGGGAG
rnacentral:rRNA from 1 species